rnacentral:rRNA from 1 species
UACGUAGGGUCCGAGCGUUGUCCGGAAUUAUUGGGCGUAAAGGGCUCGUAGGCGGUCUGUUGCGUCGGGAGUGAAAACUUACAGCUUAACUGUGAGCGUGCUUCCGAUACGGGCAGACUUGAGGUAUUCAGGGGAGAACGGAAUUCCUGGUGUAGCGGUGAAAUGACGCAGAUAUCAGGAGGAACACCGGUGGCGAAGGCGGGACUCUGGGCCGAUACUGACGCUGAGGAGCGAAAGCGUGGGGAGCAAACAGG